CCCUCCGUCAUCAUCUUUUUUUUUGAACCAAUAUUUACAUAAAAAAGAGGCAAAUUUACAGUAAACCGCUGUGAAAGAGUGUAAGUGGUGCUUUGUGUUUGUAGCUUGCUGGCUCGAUACUUUGAGGAACAUUAGAUAAACUUUAGACAAGAAAACUAAACGUUGCGACAGAGUAACUGUCUGCAUGUAUGUGCAUUUUUGAAACGCCUGUGUGUGCGUGUGCUGGUAUUUGUGUGUGAUGGGUAGUGACAGGCGUAGGCCCCGCCACAAUAAGAGCCUCUGUAGCUGCAGCAGAGGGCAGGAAGCAGUGAGGGGGGCGGAGCCGGGUCAAACACCCUGGGAACGCCACGGGACCGCAGGGGAGAAGCGUGGGGGUUGUUUCCCACUGUCCCACGAGCACCUGAACGCACCACCUCCAACAACAUCAACAACUGGGAAGUAGUAACCUAGGGGACCUCUGACCUUGUCUUACAUUGGGGUUUCUCUCUUAACAUGUUGUCAUGUUGUCAUGUUAGGCACCAACCGCCAAGUCAACUUCCUCGUAUGUCUGACACAUUAUGGUGAUAAAUGUUCCUGAUUAGACUGGUUCAUGGAGGAUCAGGUCUACACAUAGACUGGUUCAUGGAGGAUCAGGUCUACACAUAGACUGGUUCAUGGAGGAUCAGGUCUACACAUAGACUGGACAGACACACAAGCAGAUAAAGUCCUGGGAGAGUUGGGGGAGUUGGAUAUCAGCUGACAGAGUGUGUCGUUGUGUGUACUUGUGUGUGUGUGUGGAGACUCUGAGAUGGGCGAGCAGGUCUUUCCCACACCCACUCUCUCUCUCUCUCUCUCUCUCUCUCUCUCUAGAAUGCCACAAAACACUCACACACACACACACACACACACACACACACACUCGCUGUGCGACCCCCAUCGGUGGAACGUGUGUGGUCAGUGGGCCCAAAAGAACCCGGUCACGUUCCUGCAAGAGGCAGUAAAACAUUAUAUAUACACAUAUAUGCACAUAUAUAUAUAUACACACACAUGUGCACGUGUGCGUGUUGAAGCCUCCUGAGGUGAAGCGAACACUGAGCGUCUGGAG
ensembl:lncRNA